UACGUAGGGUGCAGGCGUUAAUCGGAAUUACUGGGCGUAAAGCGUGCGCAGGCGGUCUUUUAAGUCAGAUGUGAAAUCCCCGGGCUUAACCUGGGAACUGCGUUUGAAACUGGAAGGCUAGAGUGUGGCAGAGGGGGGUGGAAUUCCACGUGUAGCAGUGAAAUGCGUAGAUAAUGUGGAGGAACACCGAUGGCGAAGGCAGCCCCCUGGGCUAACACUGACGCUCGAUGCACGAAAGCGUGGGGAGCAA
rnacentral:rRNA from 1 species